rnacentral:lncRNA from 1 species
AUUUGCAGAGCGGGUUCCGCCGGGGAGGAGAACUCGCGUGCUUGGUGCAGAGGCGAACGCAGCCUGCGGGGCGCGGCCCAGGGGCGCGUCGUGGAGCCUCCAGAAGGCGAUCGAAAUGAACCACAUCCCCCAGCGACCGGACGGAAGCACGCACUAGCUCCGUUCUCCCGGGGAGAGUUUGCAGUGACUUGAGCUUGGGUGGCCCAGGUAUGUCACGCCUGGGGGAGGGACGGUGACCUCUGAGACCCACGGUCUGGGAAAAGGCUCCUGUGUGGCUGAACCCGCCCGAGGUGGGUGCAGCCCCGUACCAGACAGCCCGACCUUGACCUAAAGUAAAAUCCCAGAGGAGGAACGUCUUCCCUGGGGUUAGAAUUUGCAGUAACAGGUGUGGACAUCUUAGCAGCAGUUUGGUGGUCAUGUAUGAUACUGCAAACAGGAGCCCUGCUGAAGCUGUGGGGAC